UACGAAGGGGGCUAGCGUUGCUCGGAAUUACUGGGCGUAAAGCGCACGUAGGCGGCUUUCUAAGUCGGAGGUGAAAUCCUGGAGCUCAACUCCAGAACUGCCUUCGAUACUGGAGAGCUUGAGUCCGGGAGAGGUGAGUGGAACUGCGAGUGUAGAGGUGAAAUUCGUAGAUAUUCGCAAGAACACCAGUGGCGAAGGCGGCUCACUGGCCCGGUACUGACGCUGAGGCACGAAAGCUAGGGGAGCAAACAGG
rnacentral:rRNA from 1 species